rnacentral:rRNA from 1 species
CCUACGGGAGACAGCAGUAGGGAAUCUUCCACAAUGGGCGAAAGCCUGAUGGAGCAACGCCGCGUGGGUGAAGAAGGUCUUCGGAUCGUAAAACCCUGUUGUUAGAGAAGAAAGUUCGUGAGAGUAACUGUUCACGUUUCGACGGUAUCUAACCAGAAAGCCACGGCUAACUACGUGCCAGCAGCCGCUGUAAUACGUAGGUGGCAAGCGUUAUCCGGAUUUAUUGGGCGUAAAGGGAACGCAGGCGGUCUUUUAAGUCUGAUGGGAAAGCCUUCGGCUUAACCGGAGUAGUGCAUUGGAAACUGGGAGACUUGAGUGCAGAAGAGGAGAGUGGAACUCCAUGUGUAGCGGUGAAAUGCGUAGAUAUAUGGAAGAACACCAGUGGCGAAGGCGGCUCUCUGGUCUGUAACUGACGCUGAGGUUCGAAAGCGUGGGUAGCAAACAGGAUUAGAUACCCUAGUAGUC